rnacentral:rRNA from 1 species
AGAGUUUGAUCAUGGCUCAGAGUGAACGCUGGCGGCAGGCCUAACACAUGCAAGUCGAGCGGCAGCGCGGGGGCAACCCUGGCGGCGAGCGGCGGACGGGUGAGGAAUACAUCGGAAUCUACCCAGUCGUGGGGGAUAACGUAGGGAAACUUACGCUAAUACCGCAUACGACCUGAGGGUGAAAGCGGCGGACCGCAAGGCGUCGCGCGAUUGGAUGAGCCGAUGUCCGAUUAGCUAGUUGGCGGGGUAAAAGCCCACCAAGGCGACGAUCGGUAGCUGGUCUGAGAGGAUGAUCAGCCACACUGGAACUGAGACACGGUCCAGACUCCUACGGGAGGCAGCAGUGGGGAAUAUUGGACAAUGGGCGCAAGCCUGAUCCAGCCAUGCCGCGUGUGUGAAGAAGGCCUUCGGGUUGUAAAGCACUUUUGUCCGGGAAGAAAAGCUCUGGGUUAAUACCCUGGGGUCCUGACGGUACCGGAAGAAUAAGCACCGGCUAACUUCGUGCCAGCAGCCGCGGUAAUACGAAGGGUGCAAGCGUUACUCGGAAUUACUGGGCGUAAAGCGUGCGUAGGUGGUUCGUUAAGUCUGCCGUGAAAGCCCCGGGCUCAACCUGGGAAUGGCGGUGGAUACUGGCGGACUAGAGUGCGGUAGAGGGUGGUGGAAUUCCCGGUGUAGCAGUGAAAUGCGUAGAGAUCGGGAG